rnacentral:rRNA from 1 species
CGAAAAGGGCGUUUGGUGGAUGCCUUGGCAGUAAGAGGCGAUGAAAGACGUGAUACUCUGCGAUAAGCCAUGGGGAGCUGAGAAUAAGCUUUGAUCCAUGGAUUUCUGAAUGGGGCAACCCACCUGAAUGUUUGUUAUUGUUACCCUUUUGGGUGUCAAUAAUGAGCAUAAACAGGUACUUAUUACCUGAAUACAUAGGGUUUUAAGAGCAAACCCGGGGAACUGAAACAUCUAAGUACCCGGAGGAAAGGAAAUCAAUUAGAGACUCUGUUAGUAGCGGCGAGCGAACGCGGACCAGCCAAGCCUGAUAAGUGACCAGAAUGACCUGGAAAGGUCAGCCAUAGUGGGUGACAGCCCCGUAUGGGAAGCUUUGAAGGAUGUAUUAAGUAGGGCGGGACACGUGAAAUCCUGUUUGAAGAUCGGGGGACCACCCCCGAAGGCUAAGUACUCCUUACUGACCGAUAGCGAACCAGUACCGUGAGGGAAAGGUGAAAAGAACCCCGGGAGGGGAGUGAAAAGAACAUGAAACCGUAAACUUACAAGCAGUAGGAGGACGACUAAAACGUCUGACUUCGUGCCUGUUGAAGAAUGAGCCGGCGACUUAUAAGUAGUGGCAGGUUAAGGCAGUGAAUGCUGAAGCCACAGUGAAAGCGAGCCUGAAUAGGGCGUUUGUCACUAGUUAUAGACCCGAACCCGGGUGAUCUAACCAUGGUCAGGUUGAAGCUUAGGUAAUACUAAGUGGAGGACCGAACCGACUGAUGUUGAAAAAUCAGCGGAUGAAUUGUGGUUAGGGGUGAAAUGCCAAUCGAACUCGGAGCUAGCUGGUUCUCCCCGAAAUGUGUUUAGGCGCAGCGGUUGUGAUUAUAGUCUGGGGGUAAAGCACUGUUUCGGUGCGGGCGGCGAAAGCUGUACCAAAUCGAGACAAACUCAGAAUACCAGAUGCACACACAACCAGAUAGACGGUGGGGGAUAAGCUUCAUCGUCAAGAGGGAAACAGCCCAGACCACCAGCUAAGGUCCCCAAAUUGUCACUAAGUGAUAAAGGAGGUGGGAGUGCAAAGACAACCAGGAGGUUUGCCUAGAAGCAGCCAUCCUUAAAAGAGUGCGUAAUAGCUCACUGGUCAAGUGAUUUCGCGCCGACAAUGUAGCGGGG